UACGGGGGGAGCAAGCGUUGUUCGGAUUUACUGGGCGUAAAGCGCGCGUAGGCGGCCCUGUAAGUCCGUUGUGAAAGUCAAAGGCUCAACCUUUGAAAGCCGAUGGAUACUGCAGGGCUAGAGUCCGGAAGAGGCGAAGUGGAAUCCUGGUGUAGCGGUGGAAGUGCGCAGAUAUCAGGAGGAAUACCAGCGGCGAAGGCGGCGCUCUGGGCCGGAUGACUGACGCUG
rnacentral:rRNA from 1 species